UACAGAGGGGGCAAGCGUUGUUCGGAAUUACUGGGCGUAAAGGGCGCGUAGGCGGCCUUCUAAGUCGAACGUGAAAUCCCCGGGCUCAACCCGGGAACUGCGUCCGAUACUGGAAGGCUUGAAUCCGGGAGAGGGAUGCGGAAUUCCAGGUGUAGCGGUGAAAUGCGUAGAUAUCUGGAGGAACACCGGUGGCGAAGGCGGCAUCCUGGACCGGCAUUGACGCUGAGGCGCGAAAGCCAGGGGAGCAAAGUAGG
rnacentral:rRNA from 1 species